AAAUUGGAGGACGUCUUAAAAAAGUCUGCAACAAAUAAAAGGAAUGCACGCAUGAAGAAGUACCACCAUAUUAUGGGGCUUGCUCGCUACGCCUGUAACAUGGCUAUGGCCAAAAAAGCUAAAAAUUAAGAGAAAAUCUAUAUUACAACGUGCGCACCGUCGCGCUCAAGUGCGGCGGGUUGCGAUCGCGCGCGGACCUCCGGGGCGCCCGUUAUCCGUCAUGUUACAUGGAAAAAUUGUGCAUAUGUCGGGUGCUACACUCGCAUUUUGAUGUAAGCUAUAGUGACGUGAUGUUACACUAGCACGUCCUGUUCUUUUUUUAUAUUGACGUGAUGUUACAUCGGCGUUUUGCUGUGCGCUACAGUGCGCUACGUGAUGUUACGUCCUGUUUUUUUCAACUAGCACAUCCUGGUUUUUCUCUCCCACACACAUCUGAAAUGAGUUAAGUUUAAUUACCAGGUUUCAUUAGUGAUCAGUUACCUACUAGUAUAUGGCAACUAAGCAUGUUUUAUUCUGGCAACAGCUAAGCUGUAUUUUUGGGCACCUAGGUUUGAAAACAUGCAACCAAGUACACAUAAUCUGAGAGUUAAGUGUUUUCCAAGUUUUGGCAACUAAGUAGUUGUGUAAUUUCUCUAAGAAUGUUUGAAUAUGACAACUAAAACACUUUGUAAUAUGACAACUAGGUAUUUGUAAAUUUGACAUCUAAUUUUAAAAAACAGGUAUAUAACUGAGUACCUACAAUCUCACAGCUAGUGUUUUCCAAAUUUUGCCAACUAAGUAGUUGUGUAAUUUUCUAAAUAUGUUUGAAUAUGACAACUAAUCACUUUGUAAUAUGACAACUAAGUACAUGUAAAUUUGACAUCUAAUUUUUAUGAACAGGAAACUAAGUACUUACAAUCUGACAAUUAAGAUGUUUAAAUUUUGGCAACUAAGUAGUUCGUAAUUUUGGGAACUGACAUUUUAAACUUGACUACUUGUAACGUAGUAAGUAAGAAGUUUAAACCUGGCAACCAAGAACAACUUACCAGUUUAGGGUCAAGGAGAAAAAAUAAUGAUAUUUGAUAGUUGCAUGCAACGUUCAAGGAUGGAUUUGAGGACCCUAUUCCUUUGUAUUGCAACACAUGACACUAGUUUACUGUCGGUCCCGUGACUUUUUGGAGUAUGCAUGCCUGCGUUGCAUCUUUGCGACAGUCUGCCACUGCAUGUAGCUUCUUUUUGUAUUCUAUGAGCUCGCAGCGAGACACGCUAUCGCAAGUGAUUAUUCAUUAGUAGCCGCCGCACGGCAAGACAAGGAUGCGGUGCCCCUAUGUAGUCAAAUCCAAAAAUUAAAAAGAAAUUGGACUGUAAAAAUACAGAGGCCCAAAAAAGAAUGAUAUCUAAAAAAGGCCACAACCCAUGAAAUAGAAAGGCCGAAUUGUAGGGCUUGGCUCGUGUAGCUGAGCAAAAUUGGUAGGAAAAAAAAUAUAAAUUGGUUGAAUUAAUGGGCUCAGCCCAUAUAGAUACCAAACUGGAUCGGACUGACUCUUAUCAAUGACCCUUUCAUUUAGUUGUAAUUUUGCCACAUCAGCUUGCCAUGUCGGAUCCGACAUGGUCUCGCAGGGUGUGAGUGACCAAAACAAUUGUUCAUAGAGCCUACGACUUUUUGUUUUGGUCGUUAAUUUUCAUUAAAGAUGGCCAGUUUUUGAUCAACUGUUUUUUGUCAUAAAAAGGUCGCAAAUGAAAAACAAUGACCAUUUUGUGACCAAUAUUGAUGGCCGCAAGUUAGCAUAUUUCUUAUAGUAAAAAAUUGCACACCCAAUGUCUACCCAGUACACACCUAGGCACAAUUGCAUCUACUUUAUGGAAGAACAUCAUAAUAUUGAAAGAAGAUCUAGCAGCCAAGCAAGAACUUGUGCAGAAGAAAGAAGUUUGGGCAUAGAAGGUGGAGGAUUCACAGUUCUUGGAUUUUCAGAUCUUUAGGCAGAAAUUCCUUCUGUUUAGGCCAUGGAUCUGUAGUUUCUUAUUAACACCGUGGGUAGAGAUGGGAAAGAGCCCUUUCGUGGUGAAGAAGACAAGGUGGGGCGUUUGGCGUGGGAAGGGUCGUGCAGGAAAAAAAAAAGAUAGGCAGGAUCACGUGGGGGAGGACCAGGUAAGGGCGGCUGGCAUACGACGAGGCUGGGCGGCUGGUAGGGUGGCUCACGCGCGUGCCUCCCCCUUUCCUUUGGUGGAUGCGCAGGGGGUGGCAUGUAUUUCUUUUUUUUAUCGUCUGCCUUGGAUCGCUAGCCAGCAAACGACUGCUCGUCCUUUAUUUUAAGACAAACUACACAAUAAUUGCACUGGUUAUCGAAAGUUUCUAUCAAUAAUAAUAAUAAUAAUAAUUAAUAGAAAGUCUAUUCAUCACCUCUGUGCGGAAUAAGUUAUUCUUCACUCGAGGUAAUUUUACGGUCGUUUCAUAAAUAAAUUAUAUUUUAAAUUCAAAUAGUUACAUUCAUAUUGAUUUACACAUAACCCAGAAAAAAUGCAUUUUAUACAUAUUUUACACUAUGUUUUUACAUCUGUAAUUUUACAUAACAAAAAAGAUUUUACGGUCAUUAUAUAUUUUCUUACGUUCUUUUUUUUACGGAUUAAAUAAAAUAAAAUAAACGAAACAUAAAAUUAGUAUGCAUUUAUAUUAAAAUAGGGGGGGUGAAAAAUAACUAUUCCUCACCCAGGUGAGGAAUAGUCAAUCCCUAGUAAUUAAUACAUAUAUAUAUAUAUAUCAUAUAACAAUAAUAAUAAUGAUAAUAAUAAUAAUAAUAAAGCACGGAGUACUUCUCCUCGCGACAGUUUUGUAAAAAAAACUAAUGUUUUGUGUAAUAAAUCCUCGAUCCUUUUUUAGUGGAUUACGAGAAAACUUUUUAAUUUUACAAAACGAAAUCCAUUAAUCUUUCUCGGGCCCAAACCGGGCCGCGCCGCUGCGCGUAGCUCCCUCCUGCCCUCGCUCCCCUAGCGCCCGCAAGCCGCCUUGCCAGCGACUCCACACCUUCGCCACGCCCUGCCGCCGACACCUUCCCUGCCGGACCUCUGGCCGCUCCGCCGCCUCACCCCUUUCCCUUCUCGCUGUCGGUCCCCUCUCACCUCUGUCCCUCUUUCUCGCUGGAAAAGGACCUCCAUGGCACCACCGACCCUCAAUCUCGCUGGAUCUGGCCGCCUCCAUGCCAUAUCCACCAAAAUUGGAACCACCCUGGCCAGAUCCGCCCGACCCCCGGUGUCGUCACCAUUGAAGCGCCGCCCCGCUCGACCUAUAGCAUCACCUUCCACCGGCAGCACUUGGAGAACCUCAUCUCUCUGAUGUGCUCCUACAAGGUUGCAUGUUCUUCUGUUCUUAAGGAAGCUCAAUAGAUGACUAUUCUCAGUGAAGAUGAUACGAGAGAUGUUGUUCUCAAGUAAGC